UACUGUUUCACUCUUUCUCCAUUUCGAAGAGAUUUGCCGGCUGCCGCCCCAACUUGCAGCUGAUGCAUAUUGCCAUUGUCGGAUCCACUAGAGGUGCUCUCUCUCUCUCUCUCUCUCUCAAGUUGCAGCCCUAGUCAUCGUUUGUGCAACUCCAGCCCUAAAUUUGAACCCCGUUAAUCCCUAACAUGUAACGAUGUCGCAAGGGGCAAGGUUUCCAGCAAUUAGAUCGUGCAAAUAUGUGCUUGGAGUUGCUUAGAUUGGUUUCUCUUCUUCAGGCUUGUUAUUGUCUUCUCAUUAUUUUUCACCAAAUUUUGAUUUAUCUUUGAGAUUAGGUGAUGAUGGGAAGCGGAGAAGAGGUAGGUGACAAAAGCCCUAAAACCACAACCAGCAUCAUUAAUGUGCUCCUCUUAAACCACUCGUACUAUGAAUUUCCUGUAGACACAUACUUGCAAAUCCAAAGAAUCUGCCUUUAUGGCUACAGCUAGUUGCUUAAUUGAAGAGCUUAUGGUGCACUAAGUCUUUGGACCCAACUUUGCCUGCAAAUGAAUGACUGAGGACAUCAACAAACAUUCAGAAGAAGAUCGAUGAGAUGGUCGUUGUUGUACCUUCGUGGGUAAUUUGCUUUGAUGGUAGCCAUCUCUGUCAAUCCUCUCGAUGUUCCUAUUGUCGGUGAUGGCGCAAUAGCGUGUGGGGUAGCAUUGGAUGCCAUGUUAUGGGGACUUCGCAUUGGGCUCAUCGAGAUAGAGGAUUUCUUGUCCCAGACUUCUCCAAAAUCCACCAAGUAAUUCAUGGUGGUAUGUGUUGGGUCCAUAUUACUUCUUUAUGCAUUUUAUGGUUCAAUUGUUUCUUUUUUUUUUUUUUAUUUCACCUUUCUUUGAGUGAGUUGUAAUAACAUCUAUUAAUCGCUGAUCGAGAUUUUGAUUCUAAAUGAUAAAUGGUAGCCAAUAGCUAGCAGCCAAAACUUUAACCUGCAAUGGCUGAGUUUUUAGUUUUAUUAUUUAAAUAUUUAGUUUUCUAGCAUUGGAUUUAUGUUCCAUUUUCCUUCAUCACCUCCCCCAAAUCCACUACCUAUAGAUUUGCUCCAAACACCAGCACCUGUACUGUUAAUUUGCCCUGGUCCCCUCUAAAUUCUCCACCUAUUUAGCAGUGAUUUCUUGAAUUGGACAUGCUAUCCUGUUUUCAUUCAUCUUUUUUUCCUCCCUUUUGGUUAAAAUCUUUUUAUUAUAAGUUUGAUGUUAGUUAUUUUGGGACCUUACCUUAUAAUGGGGUAGCUAACCUAGUGUUAGACCCAAGCUUCUAUCCAUUUGAAGGUAAAGUGUUUUCAAGGUUAUCAAAGAAGGCAUUGAGUGGAGAGAUGUACUUCACCAAGAUUGCAAUUUAUUAAUGGACUUUAGUGUGUUCAAUGCAAUACCUAGCCAAAAUUUAAAGUAUUCCCAAUUGGCAGCUACAGGAAAGUCCACUAAACUGAAUUUGAUUUAUAUUGAUGAAGCUUUCUUUUAGUAUUACUUUGUUUUGUGAUAGUUACUUAUAUAAUUAUUAAUCAUUUGAUUGAGUUGUUAAUUAUCUUACAUUGUUUGAUAAGUGUGUGCUAAUUCAUGAUUUAUAGGUAUCUAAAUGUUAGGUUGUUUGGUUAUUGGUAGCUAACUAUGACUGUUUUGUUUUCCUAGUUAUUAGUUAAAAUUUCUCUCACAUUUAAUUUCAGCCUUAGAGAGUAUUUUUUUAAGGUUGUAUCUUAGUUUGUUCUUUAAGUUGUUCAGUUGAGGUUUUCAUAUUUGCUUUCUUAGUUGAUAUGUGUUUGUAGUAUAACUGUCAUUCUCUUAGUUUUGAUGUCAAUCUCUUUUUCUGUCGUUAUCUUCUUCACUAGAGUUAUUGUUAUUCUUUGUUAAGUUCAUCUUCAUUUAUUAUUAUGGACAAUCCAAGUUUGAGUAUAAGCAGUCUUGGCAUACAACAUAGACCAUCUCUUUCGUUCUUUCACUCAGACUCAAAGAUAAACUUGUUUGAUUAGUUGUCAUGUUUGAAUGGGGGAGGGGUAAUGUAUUCUAAACUCCAUGUAUAAUUUACCAAUAGAAACCCAUUGAGUUGUAAAGUACUCUGUUUUGGGUUAAACUUUACAUUUGCCACAUGAUAGGUUUGCUCCUUCUCCUGGGAAAUAUAAUAUGCUUGAUUGGGCUAAGGUAGUGGUUUUGAGCCAUGAUUUCAAAAAACUGCCAGCAUGCGUAUCCUUAAGUUGGUGAUAUUGUCAAAAAUGCUUGCUGAAGCCCCAAAAAAGGAAAGAUAAAAUGGAGGUAACAGUUGAUUAGAGCAGCAGUUUUGAACUAGACACAAUAUUUGACAUGGUUUAGAUUUCAAUUAACAAGCAAAGAGGGUCUUGCUGGUCAGACAAAAAUUUCAGAUAUAAAGUGAACCCAUCAGAGAUGUAACCUUUUUUGUUUUUUUGGUAGAAAUUAGAGGUGUAAACAAGCACAUUGAGAGGGAGAUAAGCACUUAUCUGAGUAGUUUGGACAUAAAUGGCAAUAUUUUAGACUAAACACCAUUCUCUCUCUUUUCUGUCAAUUGCCUUUAUAUUUAUGUGCAUCUAGCCAUCUGGAAUGUAGAUCAGGAAAUGAAUGGUUUUGUGCAAGUUAGUUAACUUAUUAUUAUGAUAUUUACAUCUUGAUGAUGCAUUUGCUAUUUAUUUUGGUUUGCUGGUGUACAUGCUUGUUAUACAAGGGUAUUCCCUUCUAAUGAAGUGGAUAACCCCAAGAUUGUUGCAUGGUUAGAAGGUGGAAGGUAUUUUAUGAGAUCUAUAUUUACCUUCUUACAUAGUUUUUUUUUUUUUCCAAUCUAUCUGCUAGAAGGUAAGGUUUGAGCUUAAGGUUUGAAAGUGGAGUUUAUGUUUGGCUCAGUUAGUUUUUUGUUGCUUUGCAGGUGUGGGUUAUGGGUUCUAUUAAAAUCCCUAUCUAUUAGGCUAGAAAAUGGAGAAAGCCACAUAGAGUUUACAACAAUUUUUUGAUUUCACUCAACUUUUUCAUAUGCCAAGAGUGCCACAGACAUUUCUAAGACAUAUUCAAUUGUUCCUUAUCCUUUCAACAAGACAUAUGGGAUACACACAACAAAGUAAAUGAAAGGCUAAAAGAAGAGGAGUCUUUGGGGACUGGUGACCCAAAAUUCCUGAAGAUGCUAUGGCCACCAAAGCAGCUCUGCCUAUCUUGUUACCGUUCCCUACAAGAGAAGUGAGGGCACCAGUUAAGUUGAAUGAGAUUUGAUGAGGCGCUCAAGCUCUUUACUAUCUUGUAUUCCUCUUUAUAGCAUGUGCUCUUCAACAAAAUUAUAGUCAAUCCUAAUUUAGUUGGAUCUUACUAAACCUAGUACAUUUUAUAUGAGUUGUCCAUACAUGUAAGCUAUUUCCUCUGAUGUUUGCUCUAAUGAUAUAAUUGGUGAUUAA